UGGGGAAUAUUGCACAAUGGGCGCAAGCCUGAUGCAGCCAUGUCGCGUGUAUGAAGAAGGCCUUCGGGUUGUAAAGCACUUUCAGCGGGGAGGAAGGCGGUGAGGUUAAUAACCUCAUCGAUUGACGUUACCCGCAGAAGAAGCACCGGCUAACUCCGUGCCAGCAGCCGCGGUAAUACGGAGGGUGCAAGCGUUAAUCGGAAUUACUGGGCGUAAAGCGCACGCAGGCGGUCUGUCAAGUCGGAUGUGAAAUCCCCGGGCUCAACCUGGGAACUGCAUUCGAAACUGGCAGGCUAGAGUCUUGUAGAGGGGGGUAGAAUUCCAGGUGUAGCGGUGAAAUGCGUAGAGAUCUGGAGGAAUACCGGUGGCGAAGGCGGCCCCCUAGACAAAGACUAACGCUCAGGUGCGAAAGCGUGGGGAGCAAACAGG
rnacentral:rRNA from 1 species